UACGUAGGGUGCAAGCGUUGUCCGGAAUUAUUGGGCGUAAAGAGCUCGUAGGCGGUUUGUCGCGUCUGCUGUGAAAACUCGGGGCUUAACCCCGGGCCUGCAGUGGGUACGGGCAGACUAGAGUGCGGUAGGGGAGACUGGAAUUCCUGGUGUAGCGGUGAAAUGCGCAGAUAUCAGGAGGAACACCGGUGGCGAAGGCGGGUCCUGC
rnacentral:rRNA from 1 species